AGCGAACGCUAGCGGCGGGCCUAACACAUGACAAGUCGAGCGGGGAGGCAAUCCCAGCGGCGAACGGGUGAGUAACACGUGGGUAAUGUGCCUUCUGGUGGGGAAUAACCUUGGGAAACCAGGGCUAAAUACCGCAUAUCGUGCUUCGGGCAUGAAAGCCUUCGGGCGCCAGUAGAGCACGCCUGCGUCCCAUUAUUUAGUCCUAGUUGGUAGGGUAAUGGCCUACCAAGGGGUACGAUGGGUAGCUGGUCUGAGAGGAUGAUCAGCCACACUGGAACUGAGACACGGUCCAGACUCCUACGGGAGGCAGCAGGUGGGGAAUAUUGCGCAAUGGGGGAAACCCUGACGCAGCCACGCCGCGUGAGUGAUGAAGGCCUUCGGGUUGUAAAGCUCUGUCGGGAGGGACGAAGGGAGCAAUCUCUGACGGUACCUCGCAAGAAAGCACCGGCUAACUCUGUG
rnacentral:rRNA from 1 species